AUCUCUUCCCACGGAAGAGCGAAGCUGCGCCUUUUCCGGCUUCCUCCUCACAUGCUCUGCUGUUUCUUCAGUCGGACUUUGUCCUGCGCUUUUUGCUCUUGACGGUGCAGGCUUCUCUUCAACAUCGUCCCGCCUUUCUCCGCUUCACCUCCAGUGCUAAUAAGACCUGACCCUGCAAGUGAACCGUCAGCUGCGAAGUCUCAGUCGGGCCAGCGGCACCUUGAAUUUUGUUGCUCUUCUAUUGUCCGUAUUACGGGAAUCAUGAGGGUCCAGUGUGCCUGUUUGCUGCUUCUGCUGCUCCCCGCUGCUGCGCUCUCUCAAAGUUAUAAUGACUUUGAACGGAAACACAUCCUUCCACAGAAGGGCUCUCAGAAGUGUGACGACAUGAUGAAAAACAUCAAUGGCAUAAAUCAGUGCAAGCCAAUAAAUACUUUUCUCAAGGCAAAGGUGGAUCAAAUUGUGAAAUUAUGUAGAUCUUACAAAAAUGAUUGGGCCAUCGAUAAGUUUGAUGUUAUUGACUGUAGGAGGAAAAGUCAGAAACCUUGUACAUACACAGAUCUAAACCUCAGAGAGCAGAAGAAGAUAAAAUGUGAAAAUGGCCUACCUGUGCACCUCGAGAAUGCUAAAUAUCAGAAGUCUUCAAGUUGCUGCAGCUGCAAUCAAUUGUCUCUCUUUCUCUUUCUGUCUCUCUGGUUUCUGUAUUUUAUCUGAUGCUGAAAAGUCACGCUCUGUCCCAGCUUUGGCUGCUCCUCAAACCCUUUAAUGUCGGCUCUGCCUGGUUUAUAGAUGCUUCCUAGAGAUUUAACAAUGCGAGUCUGCAGUUCUCUGAAAUGUAUCUGAGGCAGAGAUUAGAACCACAUUAUGAGUAAACUAAAGCAGGCGGGUUUUACCUGCUUUUGCUUUUGUUUGUUUGUUUGUUUUUUACAGUUUCAACUGAGUGCAGGAGCUUUACGAGCAAUUUUUUAUAAGACAAAAAUAAUUUCAAACUAUUUAAAAGUGAUGAAAUCUGCAAAUUUUUAAACUUUUUAUGAAGAGUAAAUACUUGUAUCUUAUGUUUUUCACCAAGCUGGGAAUGUUUAAUAUGUGCUAAAUAAAAAGACGAAGAAUCCCUGAUCAUACGUGUGUCCUGUUUGCUGAAACACUUUAUGUGCUUUUGAUGUCUCCAUAUUGUAGUUUGUGUCAUUUUUAGAUCAGAAGACACUCUCACACAUUCAUUUGAAUGGUUGUCCUCACCCAUUCAUUUGAAUGGGUGAGGACAGCUUAUUUACAUGUAGUUUAGAUUUUUUGUGUGUUGUUGUAAUAAAAGAAUAAUAAAAGAAUGUUAAGAGAUAAUUAUCUCUUAAAGGGCAUUUGAAUUGUUUAAGGUGGAUAAAAAUGUAAUUUAUGUGGUAUUUCUAAUGUAUGGGAGAGUUUGAGGUUUUUUGUUGCUGCAACUUUAAAUGAGGUCUAUACGGUCAGUUUUAUUAGGCGGUCAGGUGCAGUGAGGGGGAGCCACACUUUUUUUUUUUUACCUCUUUCUUGUUUACGCUUUUGGAUAUGAUGGAUGAUUAACAAAC